rnacentral:rRNA from 1 species
UACGAAGGGGGCUAGCGUUGUUCGGAAUCACUGGGCGUAAAGGGCGCGUAGGCGGCGCGACAAGUCAGGCGUGAAAGCCCCGGGCUCAACCCGGGAAUUGCGCUUGAUACUGUCGUGCUUGAGGCCGGGAGAGGAUGGCGGAAUUCCCAGUGUAGAGGUGAAAUUCGUAGAUAUUGGGAAGAACACCGGUGGCGAAGGCGGCUAUCUGGACCGGUUCUGACGCUGAGGCGCGAAAGCGUGGGGAGCAAACAGG